rnacentral:rRNA from 1 species
CCUACGGGAGGCAGCAGUGAGGAAUAUUGGUCAAUGGGCGAGAGCCUGAACCAGCCAAGUAGCGUGCAGGAUGACGGCCCUAUGGGUUGUAAACUGCUUUUAUGCGGGGAUAAAGUGAGUCACGUGUGGCUUAUUGCAGGUACCGCAUGAAUAAGGACCGGCUAAUUCCGUGCCAGCAGC